GAUACUUUGAUAAGUGUUCUGCCUGUUUUAACCUUGAAUGCUAUUAUGGGGGAUACGCGGGGGAGAGGGAAUGAUGCCAUAUCUGUUUCAUUGGUUUAGGCUUUUUCAUGCUGAGAGAAAUCAAUACUUUGAGGCGUUGGAUGACAGAGGAAUUAGUUCAGAAUUAAAGAUAUUUUUAUGGUCCUAUUGUGAUAAUAUACUGUCCAGUUUAUGUGGUUCUCAAAAUAGAAGAACUUAAAUGGUGAUAUAAAGUAUAAUAAAUUCUGCCU
rnacentral:lncRNA from 1 species